GCCCUGGUUGCACAAUUGGUUAGUGCGUUGGACUUUUACGACAGCCUCUCCGGCUACUUAACAGGAUAUCCAAAGGUUGCGGGUUCGAGUCCCGCCUGGGGCG
rnacentral:tRNA from 1 species